rfam:Pseudomonas resinovorans NBRC 106553 DNA, complete geonome.
CGUCGCUGUCGGUUCCCGUGGACCGACAGACCGCGAGCACUCAGCUCCGGACCGAAGAACACAAGCGGCGGCCUCCCCCCGAAGCAGAGGCCGGCCUAAUAAGAAAUUUCGGAAGUACGCGCACCUCCGGCCGAGGUGCUGAACCCGC